GGCAUCGCUGGUUGUGCCUGGCAGCAUUUAUUGCCCAUCCCUAAUUGCCCAGCGGACAAGUUAUGAGUCCAACACAUUGCUGUGGGCCUGGAGUCACAUGUAGGUCAGACCAGCCUAUGUACUGGGGCCUGAGAUGUUAUCAUUCUGAGGACUGUUCUGAAGCUCCUAUUGAAAUAUUGAUUUAUUCUAAUAGAUUGAUGGGUCACAAUUGAAAACAAGGCUCCCCACCUCCUCAGUACUACCUGCCUGUCCACCUAUCUUUGUAUCAUCGGCAAGCUUCGCCAGAUGUUAGGAACCAACUGGAAGAUGAGUUGAGAAGACUGUAGGU